AGGGAGAGAGGGUUGCUUCUACGCAACGUGGGGAGGAGGAGGAGAGUUUAAUUCUUGAUGUAAUCUUGCUUUUGCUGUUGCUUUUGGUUUUGGAAACAAAGAAAUUAAGACAAACCAUACCCACCCUGCAGCUUCAAUUCUAAUUCAAGCUUUCUCACGAGCGUUUUUCCAAUUUCUUGUACCCUUUAAACGUGACUUCCUUGUGGCUUCUGCUUACUGCUAAUUAACACUCGUAGAAGGUAGA
rnacentral:lncRNA from 1 species